rnacentral:rRNA from 1 species
GAUGAACGCUGGCGGUGUGCCUAAUACAUGCAAGUCGAGCGAACAGACGAGGAGCUUACUCCUCUGACGUUAGCGGCGGACGGGUGAGUAACACGUGGAUAACCUACCUAUAAGACUGAGAUAACUUCGGGAAACCGGAGCUAAUACCGGAUAACAUGUUGAACCGCAUGGUUCAACAGUGAAAGACGGUCUUGCUGUCACUUAUAGAUGGAUCCGCGUCGCAUUAGCUAGUUGGUAAGGUAACGGCUUACCAAGGCAACGAUGCGUAGCCGACCUGAGAGGGUGAUCGGCCACACUGGAACUGAGACACGGUCCAGACUCCUACGGGAGGCAGCAGUAGGGAAUCUUCCGCAAUGGGCGAAAGCCUGACGGAGCAACGCCGCGUGAGUGAAGAAGGUCUUCGGAUCGUAAAACUCUGUUAUUAGGGAAGAACAAAUGUGUAAGUAACUAUGCACGUCUUGACGGUACCUAAUCAGAAAGCCACGGCUAACUACGUG